rnacentral:misc_RNA from 1 species
UCCGUACAGAGGUGUGUGGCUGUGGGUCGGUAAUGAGAUGAUCCAUCUGAUGGAGCUUCCAAAUCCUGAUCCGUUGACAGGGCGCCCUGAACAUGGGGGUCGAGAUCGUCAUGCCUGUAUUGCAAUCCGAGAUGUGUCCAAGCUCAAAGAAAUAUUUGAUAAAGCUGGAAUCAGGUACACCCUCAGUCGCUCAGGGAGGCCAGCAAUCUUUGCAAGAGACCCUGAUGAAAAUGCAUUGGAAUUCACGCAAGUUGAUUAGUAUACUCUCUUAAAUAAACACGAG